rnacentral:rRNA from 1 species
GACGAACGCUGGCGGCGUGCUUAACACAUGCAAGUCGAACGGAAAGGCCCUGCUUUUGUGGGGUGCUCGAGUGGCGAACGGGUGAGUAACACGUGAGUAACCUUCCCUUGACUUUGGGAUAACUGCAGGAAACUGGGGCUAAUACCGGAUAGGAGCUCCUGCUGCAUGGUGGGGGUUGGAAAGUUUCGGCGGUUGGGGAUGGACUCGGGGCUUAUCAGCUUGUUGGUGGGGUAGUGGCUUACCAAGGCUUUGAAGGGUAGCCGGCAUGAGAGGGUGACCAGGCACAUUGGGACUGCGAUACGCCCCAGACUGCUACAGGAGGCAGCAGUGGAGAAUAUUGCACAAUGGGCGGAAGCCUGAUGAAGAAACGCCGCGAGCGGGAUGACGGCCUUAGGGUUGUAAACCGCUUUAGCCUGUGACGAAGCGUGAGUGACGGUAAUGAGUAAAGAAGCACCGGCUAACUACGUG